UACAGAGGGGGCAAGCGUUGUUCGGAAUUACUGGGCGUAAAGGGCGCGUAGGCGGCCUGCUAAGUCGAACGUGAAAUCCCCGGGCUCAACCCGGGAACUGCGUCCGAUACUGGCAGGCUUGAAUUCGGGAGAGGGAUGUGGAAUUCCAGGUGUAGCGGUGAAAUGCGUAGAUAUCUGGAAGAACACCGGUGGCGAAGGCGGCCUGCUGGGCAGUAGCUGACGCUGAGGCGCGACAGCGUGGGGAGCAAACAGG
rnacentral:rRNA from 1 species